ACUAGAGAACACAAAUAAUGUUCUUACCUUUAAGUUUAAUAAUAUGUCAAUUAUAUCUAAUGAGUAAUUUUUAAGUUAACCACACAAAAUUGGAACUUUAAUUAGUUAAACAGAGACAAUACACGUACAAUAUGACUGAAUGAUAUUGAAGUAAACAAAGCAAGCAUACUGAAUGGAAAGAACUAUAAUCUAAUGUACAGAAACAGUGACAGAGCUUAUCUUUUUGUAAUACUUUUAUGAAUGUUAUUUAUGAAGUAGGUUAUAUGGAUUAUGUAAAUCGAUGUAUAAAAAUAAAUACAACUGACAUUGACAUUUUGUUUUGGCGAGGUCAAAAAAUACAUUUAAGAUAUUGAUUCAAACUUCUAUAAUGGAUGGAUC